rnacentral:rRNA from 1 species
AUGUGCUCACACAUGGGCUGCCGAAAAUACUGCAUAGCUAGGGAGUGGGAGAGGUAGACGGUACUCGGUAGGAAGGGGUAAAAUCCUUUGAUCUAUCGAUGACCACCAGUGGCGAAGGCGGUCUACCGGAACACGUCCGACGGUGAGGGAUGAAAGCUGGGGGAGCAAACCGGAUUAGAUACCCGGGUAGUCCCAGCUGUAAACUAUGCAAACUCAGUGAUGCAUUGGCUUGUGGCCAAUGCAGUGCCGCAGAGAAGUCGUUAAGUUUGCCGCCUGGGAAGUACGUACGCAAGUAUGAAAUUUAAAGGAAUUGGCGGGGGAGCACCACAAGGGGUGAAGCCUGCGGUUCAAUUGGAGUCAACGCCAGAAAUCUUACCCGGAGAGACAGCAGAAUGAAGGUCAAGCUGAAGACUUUACCAGACAAGCUGAGAAGUGGUGCAUGGCCGUCGCCAGCUCGUGCCGUGAGAUGUCCUGUUAAGUCAGGUAACGAGCGAGAUCCCUGCCUCUAGUUGCCACCAUUACUCUCAGGAGUAGUGGGGCGAAUUAGCGGGACUGCCGCAGUUAAUGCGGAGGAAGGAGGGGGCCACGGCAGGUCAGUAUGCCCCGAAAAUCGU